rfam:Aedes aegypti strain Liverpool supercont1.9 genomic scaffold, whole genome shotgun sequence.
UCGGUCAUAGCCGAAGCGGGUAAACGCGCAGCUAUUCAGCAAGACCAAGCUGAGGGUCGUGGGUUCGAAUCCCACUGGUCGAG